rnacentral:misc_RNA from 1 species
GUAGGUGAACCUGCGGAAGGAUCAUUACACUCAGUAGAUUCUCUACUGCUCAGGGAGAGGGGAAAGUUUCCAGCAUGCUUCGGCGGCUGGUGACGAGUACGCUCUCUAUCUGAACCCUUGUCUUUUUGUGUACUCUUGUUUCCUCGGCGGGCCUGCCCGCCGGCUGGACAACUCUAUAACCUUUUUUAAUUCUCAAUCAGCGUCUGAAUAAAUAUAAUAAUUACAACUUUCAACAACGGAUCUCUUGGUU